GAUGAACGCUGGCGGCGUGCCUAAUACAUGCAAGUCGAGCGAACAGAUGAGGAGCUUGCUCCUCUGACGUUAGCGGCGGACGGGUGAGUAACACGUGGAUAACCUACCUAUAAGACUGGGAUAACUUCGGGAAACCGGAGCUAAUACCGGAUAAUAUAUUGAACCGCAUGGUUCAAUAGUGAAAGACGGUUUUGCUGUCACUUAUAGAUGGAUCCGCGCCGCAUUAGCUAGUUGGUAAGGUAACGGCUUACCAAGGCAACGAUGCGUAGCCGACCUGAGAGGGUGAUCGGCCACACUGGAACUGAGACACGGUCCAGACUCCUACGGGAGGCAGCAAUAGGGAAUCUUCCGCAAUGGACGAAAGCCUGACGGAGCAACGCCGCGUGAGUGAUGAAGGUCUUCGGAUCGUAAAACUCUGUUAUUAGGGAAGAACAAAUGUGUAAGUAACUAUGCACGUCUUGACGGUACCUAAUCAGAAAGCCACGGCUAACUACGUG
rnacentral:rRNA from 1 species